UCAAACUUGGUCAUUUAGAGGAAGUAAAAGUCGUAACAAGGUAACCGUAGGUGAACCUGCGGUUGGAUCAUUACUGAACAAAAAACUUUCAAAAAGGGACUAAAGCUAGGGAAGUCUCCCUAGCCCUUUUUUUGAAAAACCUCCCCCUUUAUGUGAACCGUUUCUGUUUUCUUUGGCAAGCCCACCAAGUUUUUGAAGGGAAUAAAAACCUCUAGGGGUACUCUGGUACUCUGCUAGGCUUUUUUUCCCUGGGCUGUGCCAGCAUUUUUCAAAAACCCAUGUCAGUUAUAAAAAUUUGUGUUGUUAUAUAUACAGUUUUUUAAAAAAUAAUAAAAAAACAACUUUUGACAACGGAUCUCUUGGCUCUCGCAUCGAUGAAGAACGCAGC
rnacentral:misc_RNA from 1 species